AGGAUGAACGCUGGCAGCGUGCUUAACACAUGCAAGUCGAACGAUUAAAGCCCUUUCGGGGGUGUAUAAAGUGGCGAACGGGUGAGUAACACGUGGGCAACUGCCUCUUGCUCUGGGAUAACUCAGGGAAACUUGAGCUAAUACCGGAUAAACCGGGAUGGUCGCAUGGCCGUCCCGGCAAAGCUCCGGCGGCGAGAGAUGGGCCCGCGGUCCAUUAGCUUGUUGGUGAGGUAACGGCUCACCAAGGCUGCGAUGGAUAGCCGAGCUGAGAGGCUGAUCGGCCACACUGGGACUGAGACACGGCCCAGACUCCUACGGGAGGCAGCAGUGGGGAAUCUUGCGCAAUGGGCGAAAGCCUGACGCAGCAACGCCGCGUGCGGGAUGAAGGCCUUCGGGUCGUAAACCGCUUUCAGCAGGGACGAAAAUGACGGUACCUGCAGAAGAAGCCCCGGCUAACUACGUGCCAGCAGCCGCGGUAAUACGUAGGGGGCAAGCGUUAUCCGGAUUCAUUGGGCGUAAAGCGCGCGUAGGUGGCUUGUUAAGCGAGAUGUGAAAACCGGGGGCUUAACCCGCGGCCUGCAUCUCGAACUGGCAGGCUUGAGUCUGGUAGAGGAAAGUGGAAUUCCCAGUGUAGCGGUGAAAUGCGCAGAUAUUGGGAGGAACACCAGUGGCGAAGGCGGCUUUCUGGGCCACGACUGACACUGAGGCGCGAAAGCUAGGGGAGCAAACAGGAUUAGAUACCCUGGUAGUCCUAGCUGUAAACGAUGGGCACUAGGUGUGGGGGGUCAUCAACUCCCUCCGUGCCGCAGCUAACGCAUUAAGUGCCCCGCCUGGGGAGUACGACCGCAAGGUUAAA
rnacentral:rRNA from 1 species